ACAACCAGGAUGUUGGCUUAGAAGCAGCCACCAUUGAAAGAGUGCGUAAUAGCUCACUGGUCGAGUGACCCCGCGCCGAAAAUGUACCGGGGCUAAACAUAUUACCGAAACUGUGGAUGAACCUCUUCGGAGGUUCGUGGUAGGAGAGCGUUCUAAGGGCGGUGAAGUCAGACCGGAAGGACUGGUGGAGCGCUUAGAAGUGAGAAUGCCGGUAUGAGUAGCGAAAGAAGGGUGAGAAUCCCUUCCACCGAAUAUCUAAGGUUUCCUGAGGAAGGCUCGUCCGCUCAGGGUUAGUCGGGACCUAAGCCGAGGCCGAUAGGCGUAGGCGAUGGACAACAGGUAGAGAUUCCUGUACCAGUGCUAAUUGUUUAACCGAUGGGGUGACACAGAAGGAUAGGGAAUCGCACGAAUGGAAAUGUGCGUCCAAGCAGUGAGUGUGAGAAGUAGGCAAAUCCGCUUCUCGCGAAGCAUGAGCUGUGAUGGGGAAGGAAAUAAAGUACGGAAGUUCCUGAUUUCACGCUGUCAAGAAAAGCCUCUAGGAAGAGUAGUACUGCCCGUACCGCAAACCGACACAGGUAGAUGAGGAGAGAAUCCUAAGGUGAGCGAGAGAACUCUCGUUAAGGAACUCGGCAAAAUGACCCCGUAACUUCGGGAGAAGGGGUGCUCUAUUAGGGUGCAAGCCCGAGAGAGCCGCAGUGAAUAGGCCCAGGCGACUGUUUAGCAAAAACACAGGUCUCUGCAAAACCGUAAGGUGACGUAUAGGGGCUGACGCCUGCCCGGUGCUGGAAGGUUAAGAGGAGUGCUUAGCUUCGGCGAAGGUACGAAUUGAAGCCCCAGUAAACGGCGGCCGUAACUAUAACGGUCCUAAGGUAGCGAAAUUCCUUGUCGGGUAAGUUCCGACCCGCACGAAAGGCGCAACGAUCUGGGCACUGUCUCAACGAGAGACUCGGUGAAAUUAUAGUACCUGUGAAGAUGCAGGUUACCCGCGACAGGACGGAAAGACCCCGUGGAGCUUUACUGCAACCUGAUAUGGAAUGUUUGUACCGCUUGUACAGGAUAGGUAGGAGCCGAAGAGACGUGUGCGCUAGCAUACGAGGAGGCAAUGGUGGGAUACUACCCUGGCUGUAUGACCAUUCUAACCCGCCACGCUUAGCGCGUGGGGAGACAGUGUCAGGUGGGCAGUUUGACUGGGGCGGUCGCCUCCUAAAGAGUAACGGAGGCGCCCAAAGGUUCCCUCAGAAUGGAUGGAAAUCAUUCGCAGAGUGUAAAGGCACAAGGGAGCUUGACUGCGAGACUGACAAGUCGAGCAGGGACGAAAGUCGGGCUUAGUGAUCCGGUGGUUCCGCAUGGAAGGGCCAUCGCUCAACGGAUAAAAGCUACCCCGGGGAUAACAGGCUUAUCUCCCCCAAGAGUCCACAUCGACGGGGAGGUUUGGCACCUCGAUGUCGGCUCGUCGCAUCCUGGGGCU
rnacentral:rRNA from 1 species